AUUGAACGCUGGCGGCAUGCCUUACACAUGCAAGUCGAACGGUAACAGGUCUUCGGAUGCUGACGAGUGGCGAACGGGUGAGUAAUACAUCGGGACGUGCCCGAUCGUGGGGGAUAACGAGGCGAAAGCUUUGCUAAUACCGCAUACGAUCUACGGAUGAAAGCGGGGGAUCUUCGGACCUCGCGCGGACGGAGCGGCCGAUGGCAGAUUAGGUAGUUGGUGGGGUAAAGGCUCACCAAGCCAACGAUCUGUAGCUGGUCUGAGAGGAUGAUCAGCCACACUGGGACUGAGACACGGCCCAGACUCCUACGGGAGGCAGCAGUGGGGAAUUUUGGACAAUGGGGGCAACCCUGAUCCAGCCAUGCCGCGUGCAGGAUGAAGGCCUUCGGGUUGUAAACUGCUUUUGUACGGAACGAAAAGCUCUCCUCUAAUAAAGGGGGGUCAUGACGGUACCGUAAGAAUAAGCACCGGCUAACUACGUGCCAGCAGCCGCCGUAAUAC
rnacentral:rRNA from 1 species